AAAUUGAAGAGUUUGAUCAUGGCUCAGAUUGAACGCUGGCGGCAGGCCUAACACAUGCAAGUCGAACGGUAGCACAGAGAGCUUGCUCUCGGGUGACGAGUGGCGGACGGGUGAGUAAUGUCUGGGAAACUGCCUGAUGGAGGGGGAUAACUACUGGAAACGGUGGCUAAUACCGCAUAACGUCGCAAGACCAAAGAGGGGGACCUUCGGGCCUCUUGCCAUCAGAUGUGCCCAGAUGGGAUUAGCUAGUUGGUGAGGUAACGGCUCACCAAGGCGACGAUCCCUAGCUGGUCUGAGAGGAUGACCAGCCACACUGGAACUGAGACACGGUCCAGACUCCUACGGGAGGCAGCAGUGGGGAAUAUUGCACAAUGGGCGCAAGCCUGAUGCAGCCAUGCCGCGUGUAUGAAGAAGGCCUUCGGGUUGUAAAGUACUUUCAGCGGGGAGGAAGGUGUUGUGGUUAAUAACCGCAGCAAUUGACGUUACCCGCAGAAGAAAGAAGAA
rnacentral:rRNA from 1 species